rnacentral:rRNA from 1 species
AUUAACCUUUUAAUUAGGACACAAAUUCAAAACCCAUCAAAACUAUUGAGUAUUUCUAUACGUUUAUAGGAGAAUUAAUGCUAGAACUAGUAACUCAGAAUUAAACAUUCUCUUAAUGUAAGUGUAAAUCAGAUUGAAUAAAUCACUGAUAAUUAACAGCCUUACAGAAAGCAAUGUAACAACUCACCAAGAAAACCUUACAUCAAAAACUGUUAAUCUUACACAAGAACACACCAAGAAAGAUUAAAAGAUAUAGAAGGAACUCGGCAAAUCUAGGUCCCGCCUGUUUACCAAAAACAUCGCCUCUUGCCCAAUUUGUAUAAGAGGUCCCGCCUGCCCAGUGACAUCAUGUUUAACGGCCGCGGUAUUUUGACCGUGCGAAGGUAGCGUAAUCACUUGUCUUUUAAAUGAAGACUGGUAUGAACGGCAUCACGAAGACCUUACUGUCUCCUAUAUCCAAUCAGUGAAACUGAUCUCCCCGUGAAGAAGCGGGGAUUUUACCAUAAGACGAGAAGACCCCAUGGAGCUUUAAACUUAAGUCACUUGCUUCAAUCACUAAUCCACGGGAUAAACGCUUAACCAAGCAACGAUGAUCUAUGUUUUCGGUUGGGGCGACCACGGAGAAUAAUAAAUCCUCCUCGAUGAAUGAGACAAUUUAAACCAAGAGCUACAGCUCUAAGUAUUAGAAUAUCUAACAUACAUUGAUCCAAUCCUAUUGAUCAACGAACCAAGUUACCCUGGGGAUAACAGCGCAAUCCAUUUCAAGAGUCCAUAUCGACAAAUGGGUUUACGACCUCGAUGUUGGAUCAGGGCAUCCCAGUGGUGCAGCCGCUACUAAAGGUUCGUUUGUUCAACGAUUAAAGCCCUAC